GAUGAACGCUAGCGGCAGGCCUAAUACAUGCAAGUCGAGGGGUAGAAGAGGCUUGCUUCUUUGAGACCGACGCACGGGUGCGUAACGCGUAUGCAACCUACCUUCAUCUGGGGGAUAGCCCGGAGAAAUCCGGAUUAAUACCGCAUAAAAUCACAGGAUGGCAUUAUCCAAUGAUCAAACAUUUAUGGGAUGGAGAUGGGCAUGCGUGUCAUUAGCUAGUUGGCGGGGUAACGGCCCACCAAGGCGACGAUGACUAGGGGAUCUGAGAGGAUGGCCCCCCAACCUGGUACUGAGACACGGACCAGACUCCUACGGGAGGCAGCAGUAAGGAAUAUUGGUCAAUGGAGGCAACUCUGAACCAGCCAUGCCGCGUGCAGGAAGACUGCCCUAUGGGUUGUAAACUGCUUUUAUUCGGGAAUAAACCUUAUUACGUGUAAUAAGCUGAAUGUACCGAAGGAAUAAGGAUCGGCUAACUCCGUGCCAGCCGCCGCCGUAAAAC
rnacentral:rRNA from 1 species